GGUGGUAAAGGAAGAAAUUUCAGAUGACAAUGCAAAACUACCGUGCUUCAAUGGAAGAGUGGUGUCCUGGAGUCCAGGGACAGCCUCCCAGUGGAAGUUGGGAAUGUGGAAAGAAUUGGCCUGUGGUUGCUCCAGAUCAGAGCCAGCUGAGUGGCCUCUGCCAGCAGUUUGCACUAAGUGGGUUGGCCAUUAUCUGUGUUUUUUAGGAAGGCUUUGCAACAUCUGGGAAUAAUUCCCUGACAGGCUGCUGAGGAUGUGCACUAUUUCCUAUUGGCUGGCAGUGAUGUCAUAGCUGUGUGCGAGUCUCCUUCUCUCUCUGUUUUCUUCUCUAUUAUCUAGGUGCCAGCAGAUAAUACUUGUCUGUGCGUAAGCUUUUUAGACUCUGUGUUUGUAAUUGCCGUUAGCAUUGUCGUGUAGAACUGUUUCGUCUUCUGCCACACAAGAGAACACAGAAGAGUUAGGAUUGUUGAAUAAUCUUCAGCAAAGUGUAUUGUUGCCUUUUGGUGUGUAAUUGAGGCAGUGAAUUAAAAUCCAAAUAAACAGAUUCCUGUUGAUUUCUAGUGUGUAACA
rnacentral:lncRNA from 1 species